rnacentral:rRNA from 1 species
AGAGUUUGAUCCUGGCUCAGAUUGAACGCUGGCGGCAGGCCUAACACAUGCAAGUCGAACGGUAACAGGAUGUGCUUGCACAUCGCUGACGAGUGGCGGACGGGUGAGUAAUGCUUAGGGAUCUGCCUCUGUGUGGGGGAUAACUAUUGGAAACGAUAGCUAAUACCGCAUAAUGUUUACGGACCAAAGGGGGCGUUUGCUCCCGCGCAGAGAGGAACCUAAGUGAGAUUAGCUAGUUGGUAAGGUAAUGGCUUACCAAGGCGACGAUCUCUAGCUGUUCUGAGAGGAAGAUCAGCCACACUGGGACUGAGACACGGCCCAGACUCCUACGGGAGGCAGCAGUGGGGAAUAUUGCACAAUGGGGGGAACCCUGAUGCAGCCAUGCCGCGUGUGUGAAGAAGGCCUUCGGGUUGUAAAGCACUUUCAGUUGUGAGGAAAGGUUAGUAGUUAAUACCUGCUAGCUGUGACGUUAGCAACAGAAGAAGCACCGGCUAACUCCGUGCCAGCAGCCGCGGUAAUACGGAGGGUGCGAGCGUUAAUCGGAAUUACUGGGCGUAAAGCGCACGCAGGCGGUUUGUUAAGCUAGAUGUGAAAGCCCCGAGCUCAACUUGGGAUGGUCAUUUAGAACUGGCAGACUAGAGUCUUGGAGAGGGGAGUGGAAUUUCUAGUGUAGCGGUGAAAUGCGUAGAUAUUAGAAGGAACAUCAGUGGCGAAGGCGACUCCCUGGCCAAAGACUGACGCUCAUGUGCGAAAGUGUGGGUAGCGAACAGGAUUAGAUACCCUGGUAGUCCACACCGUAAACGCUGUCUACUAGCUGUUUGUGAGUUUAACUCGUGAGUAGCGAAGCUAACGCGCUAAGUAGACCGCCUGGGGAGUACGGCCGCAAGGUUAAAACUCAAAUGAAUUGACGGGGGCCCGCACAAGCGGUGGAGCAUGUGGUUUAAUUCGAUGCGACGCGAAGAACCUUACCUACACUUGACAUUCAGCGAACUUAGCAGAGAUGCUUUGGUGCCUUCGGGAACCCUGGGACAGGUGCUCCAUGGCUUUCUUCACCUCCUGUCCUGAGAAAUUUGGGUUAAAUCUCCCACCAACUCCG